CCUACGGGAGGCAGCAGUGGGGAAUAUUGCGCAAUGGGCGAAAGCCUGACGCAGCGACGCCGCGUGAGGGAUGAAGGUCUUCGGAUCGUAAACCUCUGUCAGCAGGGAAGAACGGUCACUGUGCUAAUCAGCAGUGACUUGACGGUACCUGCAAAGGAAGCACCGGCUAACUCCGUGCCAGCAGCCGCGGUAAUACGGAGGGUGCGAGCGUUAAUCGGAAUUACUGGGCGUAAAGCGCUCGUAGGCGGUAUGUCAAGUCAAGGGUGAAAUCCCCGCGCUCAACGUGGGAACUGCCUUUGAAACUGGAAAACUGGAGUGUGGGAGAGGAUAGUGGAAUUCCAGGUGUAGGAGUGAAAUCCGUAGAUAUCUGGAGGAACAUCAGUGGCGAAGGCGACUAUCUGGCACAUAACUGACGCUGAGGAGCGAAAGCGUGGGUAGCAAACAGGAUUAGAUACCCGAGUAGUC
rnacentral:rRNA from 1 species